rnacentral:piRNA from 1 species
UAGAAGUGUAUAGUGCAGACAUGUUG